rnacentral:rRNA from 1 species
AUUGAACGCUGGCGGAAUGCUUUACACAUGCAAGUCGGGCGGCAGCGCGGGGGGCAACCCUGGCGGCGAGCGGCGAACGGGUGAGUAACACAUCGGAACGUACCCUGUCGUGGGGGAUAACGAAUCGAAAGAUUCGCUAAUACCGCAUACGUCCUGAGGGAGAAAGCGGGGGAUCGCAAGACCUCGCGCGAUUGGAGCGGCCGAUAUCGGAUUAGCUAGUUGGUGGGGUAAAGGCUCACCAAGGCGACGAUCCGUAGCGGGUCUGAGAGGACGACCCGCCACACUGGAACUGAGACACGGUCCAGACUCCUACGGGAGGCAGCAGUGGGGAAUUUUGGACAAUGGGGGCAACCCUGAUCCAGCCAUUCCGCGUGAGUGAAGAAGGCCUUCGGGUUGUAAAGCUCUUUCAGCAGGAACGAAACGGUGGUCCCUAAUACGGACUACUAAUGACGGUACCUGAAGAAGAAGCACCGGCUAACUACGUG